rnacentral:sRNA from 1 species
UUCAAGAACAUUUGGAUGCAGUGCGAAA